rnacentral:rRNA from 1 species
AUGGCGGCCGUCGCUCAACAUGACCUUGCUCGCUGCACGAAGGAGACUGUCAACAUGCCUUCCAUCUUAAUAGGGAGCGAGGCCAUGGCUUGGAUGGGUCAAUGCUUGGAGCCAAGGCCACCUAGUCCUCAGAGCCCGACCCAUCUUCCUCGUAUCUGCAAUGCCCAGACCGCCGAGCUUGACCAUGGCGGCACACGUUUCACCAAGCCACGAAGCAGUUGCCACCUUUCGCCUCACAAUGAACUCGCCAAAAGAAAUUGCAUGUUUUCUUGUCAAAUCGCUCGCGCACCCACUUCUGCAUCCCCCAGCCGUCAUUGUGUGUGUAUGAUGUUAUCUUACCAUAUUAUUAAAACAAGUUAA